rfam:Schistosoma curassoni strain Dakar, Senegal genome assembly, scaffold: SCTD_scaffold0009675
GCACUGCUGAGGAGUCCCACACUAGGACGAAACGGUCGUCAAACUGUGC